UCACUAAUCAUCCUACGAAGGCACUCGCGAUCGUCGGCUUCCGAGACCUGCUUUUGGAACUAACAUCAACCCUGCGGAUCCGUUUUGCUCGACGAACUCAAUACGACACUUGUUUUUCUGUUGUACAGCUUAGGGACAGUUUUCUCUGUACAGUGUAUAGUGACUAAAGUAAAGAGCUACAGUACAGUCAGCAUAGCGUGCACGAGAAUGCAGACCAUUAUUAGGACGUGGUGAGGGAAGCAUUCGGGGGGAGCCAAAGAUGCGUUUGUAAUUUUUUUAAGGAUACUUCGCAAACGGGCAAGCAUAUUCGCGCGACUAAACGAAAAGAAAAGUGGAUACUGGAACCAUAAACGAAGGCGCGCCCAGCUCGCGCGUCGCCGAAUGAAUAAAGCCUCUCUCAGGAAGAAAUGUCAAGACCGGGACACACACACACAACCAAGGAGAGAUCAGAAUUUUUCCAUUGUAUUCGAUGAACCCGUCGAUAACCGUCAAGAAAACCGGAACAACACGAGAUGUAUUGGCUCCGCGCCUGUCCCAUUUGAGAAUCAA